rnacentral:rRNA from 1 species
UACAGAGGGUGCGAGCGUUAAUCGGAAUUACUGGGCGUAAAGAGCUCGUAGGUGGUUUGUCGCGUUGUCCGUGAAAACUCACAACUCAAUUGUGGGCGUGCGGGCGAUACGGGCAGACUGGAGUACUGCAGGGGAGACUGGAAUUCCUGGUGUAGCGGUGGAAUGCGCAGAUAUCAGGAGGAACACCGGUGGCGAAGGCGGGUCUCUGGGCAGUAACUGACGCUGAGGAGCGAAAGCGUGGGGAGCGAACGGG